UAGAGUUUGAUCAUGGCUCAGAUUGAACGCUGGCGGCAGGCCUAACACAUGCAAGUCGAGCGGUAGCACAAGAGAGCUUGCUCUCUGGGUGACGAGCGGCGGACGGGUGAGUAAUGUCUGGGAAACUGCCUGAUGGAGGGGGAUAACUACUGGAAACGGUAGCUAAUACCGCAUAACGUCUUCGGACCAAAGUGGGGGACCUUCGGGCCUCACGCCAUCAGAUGUGCCCAGAUGGGAUUAGCUAGUAGGUGGGGUAAUGGCUCACCUAGGCGACGAUCCCUAGCUGGUCUGAGAGGAUGACCAGCCACACUGGAACUGAGACACGGUCCAGACUCCUACGGGAGGCAGCAGUGGGGAAUAUUGCACAAUGGGCGCAAGCCUGAUGCAGCCAUGCCGCGUGUGUGAAGAAGGCCUUCGGGUUGUAAAGCACUUUCAGCGAGGAGGAAGGGUAGUGUGUUAAUAGCACAUUGCAUUGACGUUACUCGCAGAAGAAGCACCGGCUAACUCCGUGCCAGCAGCCGCGGUAAUACGGAGGGUGCAAGCGUUAAUCGGAAUUACUGGGCGUAAAGCGCACGCAGGCGGUUUGUUAAGUCAGAUGUGAAAUCCCCGCGCUUAACGUGGGAACUGCAUUUGAAACUGGCAAGCUAGAGUCUUGUAGAGGGGGGUAGAAUUCCAGGUGUAGCGGUGAAAUGCGUAGAGAUCUGGAGGAAUACCGGUGGCGAAGGCGGCCCCCUGGACAAAGACUGACGCUCAGGUGCGAAAGCGUGGGGAGCAAACAGGAUUAGAUACCCCGGUA
rnacentral:rRNA from 1 species